GGUGAGAAGGUUAACCAUUGUCACCACUGUUGCUGCUUCCUAUUUUCUCCUUACCGCUGACUAUGGCCCUCAACCCAAUGCCCUCGACCCUGUAACAUUAUAAAAGGGCUUGUGAGGAUGUCCAUCAAUCACUAUGUAGCUUCUUGGUUAUUUGUGUUAUUGACUCACAUAUGUGUAGGUGUUUUCCCCUUCAAAACUAUUCACACCAUCAAAUUUUUCAUCUUUGCAACCACAUAUAUGUGAAGUAGGAACCAGGUUGUAAUUAAACGGUUCAAAAUUCUAAUGGAAAGAGAAUGGAGGAAAUUACUUUUUUUUUUCUCGUUGUUGUUGGUUUUGCUGCUGUUAAGAAGGUGUAAAACUUGGCGUGGGGAAGGGGAUGGUAUUGUAGGCUAAAAUGCUGGCAAAGCAGCUUGGGUUGGAUUUCAACUUGGGAAGUGGGAACAAACAGCCCUCAAAAAGACUUGGUGGCCAUUUUUGUUAUUACUCUUGGGCAAUUUUGGACCCAUAGGUAGUAUUUGGUAGAUAACGUAUGAGUUUUCUUCUAUGGUGUAUUUCAAGAAUAGGAUAGAAUAGAAGUUAGAACUGCUUGUGGAGUUAAAGUAGUACAUUUUGGUUUCACCAGUUGAUCCGUGCAACAAAAUCUACCUUAAUAUGAUGAGAAGCUGAGAACAGUAAAAAGAAAACACAAAACUGAUACCAGACAUUUUGCGUCAUCUAGAAAUUGCAUUAUGAAAUAAAAAUAUGGCAUGGGACUUGAUCCGCAAACCGCAAUUGCAUUGACUUUAUUGUAUUAAUUGGAAUACUCAGUUCUUCUGUCUCAGAUCAAGUUGAUAGGUAGUAGAUAAAUGACAAUGGUCAGAAAUCAAUAUCCUAAUUUAUGUUUAAUUUUCUUUUUAUUGUUCUGUUCAUGAGGGUUUUACGCCUUGGUACCGACUCUAUUGUUUUUUUCAUGUAAAAUGUUGAUGAAACAAAAGAUUUAUAAGGUUUUUAUCAUUUGCUAUAUGGCUACAUUUACGUUAGUUUGUCUUGUUAAUUUGAAAGUUAGAUCUAGAGAAAUGACCCAAAUAAGAGUUUCCUUGGUGGAUUAGAACCUGUGGCCAUGCAGAAGCAAUUGCAGAUGAAUAGGUGUCCUUCACAAUUAGAAAGGUUCUAGAUAGAAUCUCUUCCCCAGUAGUUAUCAGGAUGCUAAUACCUUGUAAGGACUCUGAGAAUAAUUGGCCAGAUGAAUCCAACCAGCGAUCAAUUUAACUUUGUUUCAGCCACUGCUGCUAUCUAAAGCUUCCCUCGACUGCCACAAAUAGUUUCUUGUUUUUCUUUUAUAUU